CCAUUAUUAUGAUCAGGAAAUUGUUCCUUACCAAUAAUAUUUGCUGUUUUGAUUGAGCUUCUUUCUGGAUUUCUGGAAGACUUAAAAAACAAGGAAUCCUUUAGCAUACUUAGUUCACUAUUACAAAUACAAUUAGAAUAAGAACCGAGCUCAAUAGUUGGUUUAUUAUUGGCAAGGGGUUCAAUUCAAAAAUAGUAUUUUCUAAAGCUUAAUAAUCGAUUAGGAAAAAGCUGUUGCCUAAAUAACAUUAAUUUGUAAUAAAAUGAAAUCUAGAGAGGAGAGAACAAGAUUGAUUACCUGUUAGUAGCUAUAAAAGUAUCACAAACUUUACAGUUGAACAAUAAAUGAAGGAUCGAAUUUAAAAAACUAAGAAACAAGCUUUUCCUAGAUCUGAUAAAAUAAAAAACUAAAAAAAAGAAAGAAAGACAAUAGAACCAUAGAACAUUAAAUGUAAAGACAUAGUUGGCACAUUAGAAAAACAAGCUGCAGGACAGUUCCACGACAGAAAAUAUUUGAUUAUAAAACGGAUGCUUAGCAAUAGUAUUAAAUAAAAACUAUGAUUAGGAAGAAACGCACAUA